UCCAUUAGCGAGCAUUGGAAAAUAAAAGAGAGGAUAACAUAUCAUUAGUAAGCACAAAGGGCAGCAAAGUGCUGACGCAGACUGUGCAGAAGCAGAAUAAAGAAAGCCUAUAGGACAACCCUGAACAGUUUACCCACUGAAGCUUGAAGUAAUGACUACAUACUGCAGAUGUAGGUCAAAAAAAGGGGGGGCAUCAGGAGAGGCUGCUGUUAGAGAGAGUUCAACUGUAGGAUGUAUUGAUUUAAUGACACAGAAGGCAAAGUGUAAGUACAGCUCAGGGUUUUUUUAUUGCUGAGAUUCACCCUUCUGUUUUGUGUGUUAAAGAUGUUUUUCUGAACUCUCAGAGUUUUCUUACUGCAACCUUUGCUAAACCUUUCCACCAACAGUAACUGUCCAGUGGUUGCUCAGCAACUAAAACUGUGCAGAGCAAGUUUGUCAAGCUUCAAGUAGCUUCCCAUCGUUAGCCUAGCACGCUAGGUGCACAGCACAUGAACUGUGUGUUUCCAGCAGCAGCAGACAAGCUUUUAUACACCCUGUCCUGCACCAAACAGCAGAUGGACAGGAUAAGGUGUGUUUGUCCAGAGCGACUCAGCGCUAAUACUUCAGUGCAGUCAGAGACCCUGAUGAGGAUGACUUCAUAGAGAGGCAGGGAUGGGAAACAGAUAGAAGGCUUGACAAGGGCACUACAUGACAUGUAACUGCUGUACACCCAGGCUGACAACAGCUGCCAUCGUCUGAAAAGAAGCCACAUUUCCAGCUACAGUGUGUCAGUACCUGUUCUUCAAAAGACAGCUCUUCAGUAGAGAAAAGGUGUAAAUACGAGAAUAUUUUCCAGGAGUUUGGACAAUGGACAGCCAUGGUUACAAGAUGGGAUUAGACACAGUAGUCGGUCUGAAAAUGAAAAGCAACACAAGGAAAAAUCACGAGCAGGAGGAGGCUCUGUCUCAACAGCUCCCAGAGGAUGGCCCAGAGGUAGGUGCUAAAUUACAAACUAAUAAACUAAAUGCAGAAUUGGUGCAA